GUAAAAAGUAGAAUAAUAGAUUUGAAAUAUUUAUUAUAUAGAUUUAAAGAGAUAAUCAUGGAGUAUAAUAAUUAAAUUUAAUAAAUUUAAUAUAACUAUUAAUAGAAUUAGGUUACUAAUAAAUUAAUAACAAUUAAUUUUAAAACCUAAAGGUAAACCUUUAUAUUAAUAAUGUUAUUUUUUAUUAUUUUUAUAAUAAGAAUAAUUAUUAAUAAUAAUAAACUAAGUGAACUGAAACAUCUAAGUAACUUAAGGAUAAGAAAUCAACAGAGAUAUUAUGAGUAUUGGUGAGAGAAAAUAAUAAAGGUCUAAUAAGUAUUAUGUGAAAAAAAUGUAAGAAAAUAGGAUAACAAAUUCUAAGACUAAAUACUAUUAAUAAGUAUAGUAAGUACCGUAAGGGAAAGUAUGAAAAUGAUUAUUUUAUAAGCAAUCAUGAAUAUAUUAUAUUAUAUUAAUGAUGUACCUUUUGUAUAAUGGGUCAGCAAGUAAUUAAUAUUAGUAAAACAAUAAGUUAUAAAUAAAUAGAAUAAUAUAUAUAUAUAAAAAAAUAUAUUAAAAUAUUUAAUUAAUAUUAAUUGACCCGAAAGCAAACGAUCUAACUAUGAUAAGAUGGAUAAACGAUCGAACAGGUUGAUGUUGCAAUAUCAUCUGAUUAAUUGUGGUUAGUAGUGAAAGACAAAUCUGGUUUGCAGAUAGCUGGUUUUCUAUGAAAUAUAUGUAAGUAUAGCCUUUAUAAAUAAUAAUUAUUAUAUAAUAUUAUAUUAAUAUUAUAUAAAGAAUGGUACAGCAAUUAAUAUAUAUUAGGGAACUAUUAAAGUUUUAUUAAUAAUAUUAAAUCUCGAAAUAUUUAAUUAUAUAUAAUAAAGAGUCAGAUUAUGUGCGAUAAGGUAAAUAAUCUAAAGGGAAACAGCCCAGAUUAAGAUAUAAAGUUCCUAAUAAAUAAUAAGUGAAAUAAAUAUUAAAAUAUUAUAAUAUAAUCAGUUAAUGGGUUUGACAAUAACCAUUUUUUAAUGAACAUGUAACAAUGCACUGAUUUAUAAUAAAUAAAAAAAAAUAAUAUUUAAAAUCAAAUAUAUAUAUAUUUGUUAAUAGAUAAUAUACGGAUCUUAAUAAUAAGAAUUAUUUAAUUCCUAAUAUGGAAUAUUAUAUUUUUAUAAUAAAAAUAUAAAUACUGAAUAUCUAAAUAUUAUUAUUACUUUUUUUUUAAUAAUAAUAAUAUGGUAAUAGAACAUUUAAUGAUAAUAUAUAUUAGUUAUUAAUUAAUAUAUGUAUUAAUUAAAUAGAGAAUGCUGACAUGAGUAACGAAAAAAAGGUAUAAACCUUUUCACCUAAAACAUAAGGUUUAACUAUAAAAGUACGGCCCCUAAUUAAAUUAAUAAGAAUAUAAAUAUAUUUAAGAUGGGAUAAUCUAUAUUAAUAAAAAUUUAUCUUAAAAUAUAUAUAUUAUUAAUAAUUAUAUUAAUUAAUUAAUAAUAUAUAUAAUUAUAUUAUAUAUUAUAUAUUUUUUAUAUAAUAUAAACUAAUAAAGAUCAGGAAAUAAUUAAUGUAUACCGUAAUGUAGACCGACUCAGGUAUGUAAGUAGAGAAUAUGAAGGUGAAUUAGAUAAUUAAAGGGAAGGAACUCGGCAAAGAUAGCUCAUAAGUUAGUCAAUAAAGAGUAAUAAGAACAAAGUUGUACAACUGUUUACUAAAAACACCGCACUUUGCAGAAACGAUAAGUUUAAGUAUAAGGUGUGAACUCUGCUCCAUGCUUAAUAUAUAAAUAAAAUUAUUUAACGAUAAUUUAAUUAAAUUUAGGUAAAUAGCAGCCUUAUUAUGAGGGUUAUAAUGUAGCGAAAUUCCUUGGCCUAUAAUUGAGGUCCCGCAUGAAUGACGUAAUGAUACAACAACUGUCUCCCCUUUAAGCUAAGUGAAAUUGAAAUCGUAGUGAAGAUGCUAUGUACCUUCAGCAAGACGGAAAGACCCUAUGCAGCUUUACUGUAAUUAGAUAGAUCGAAUUAUUGUUUAUUAUAUUCAGCAUAUUAAGUAAUCCUAUUAUUAGGUAAUCGUUUAGAUAUUAAUGAGAUACUUAUUAUAAUAUAAUGAUAAUUCUAAUCUUAUAAAUAAUUAUUAUUAUUAUUAUUAAUAAUAAUAAUAUGCUUUCAAGCAUAGUGAUAAAACAUAUUUAUAUGAUAAUCACUUUACUUAAUAGAUAUAAUUCUUAAGUAAUAUAUAAUAUAUAUUUUAUAUAUAUUAUAUAUAAUAUAAGAGACAAUCUCUAAUUGGUAGUUUUGAUGGGGCGUCAUUAUCAGCAAAAGUAUCUGAAUAAGUCCAUAAAUAAAUAUAUAAAAUUAUUGAAUAAAAAAAAAAUAAUAUAUAUUAUAUAUAUUAAUUAUAAAUUGAAAUAUGUUUAUAUAAAUUUAUAUUUAUUGAAUAUAUUUUAGUAAUAGAUAAAAAUAUGUACAGUAAAAUUGUAAGGAAAACAAUAAUAACUUUCUCCUCUCUCGGUGGGGGUUCACACCUAUUUUUAAUAGGUGUGAACCCCUCUUCGGGGUUCCGGUUCCCUUUCGGGUCCCGGAACUUAAAUAAAAAUGGAAAGAAUUAAAUUAAUAUAAUGGUAUAACUGUGCGAUAAUUGUAACACAAACGAGUGAAACAAGUACGUAAGUAUGGCAUAAUGAACAAAUAACACUGAUUGUAAAGGUUAUUGAUAACGAAUAAAAGUUACGCUAGGGAUAAUUUACCCCCUUGUCCCAUUAUAUUGAAAAAUAUAAUUAUUCAAUUAAUUAUUUAAUUGAAGUAAAUUGGGUGAAUUGCUUAGAUAUCCAUAUAGAUAAAAAUAAUGGACAAUAAGCAGCGAAGCUUAUAACAACUUUCAUAUAUGUAUAUAUACGGUUAUAAGAACGUUCAACGACUAGAUGAUGAGUGGAGUUAACAAUAAUUCAUCCACGAGCGCCCAAUGUCGAAUAAAUAAAAUAUUAAAUAAAUAUCAAAGGAUAUAUAAAGAUUUUUAAUAAAUCAAAAAAUAAAAUAAAAUGAAAAAUAUUAAAAAAAAUCAAGUAAUAAAUUUAGGACCUAAUUCUAAAUUAUUAAAAGAAUAUAAAUCACAAUUAAUUGAAUUAAAUAUUGAACAAUUUGAAGCAGGUAUUGGUUUAAUUUUAGGAGAUGCUUAUAUUCGUAGUCGUGAUGAAGGUAAACUAUAUUGUAUGCAAUUUGAGUGAAAAAAUAAGGCAUACAUGGAUCAUGUAUGUUUAUUAUAUGAUCAAUGAGUAUUAUCACCUCCUCAUAAAAAAGAAAGAGUUAAUCAUUUAGGUAAUUUAGUAAUUACCUGAGGAGCUCAAACUUUUAAACAUCAAGCUUUUAAUAAAUUAGCUAACUUAUUUAUUGUAAAUAAUAAAAAACUUAUUCCUAAUAAUUUAGUUGAAAAUUAUUUAACACCUAUAAGUUUAGCAUAUUGAUUUAUAGAUGAUGGAGGUAAAUGAGAUUAUAAUAAAAAUUCUCUUAAUAAAAGUAUUGUAUUAAAUACACAAAGUUUUACUUUUGAAGAAGUAGAAUAUUUAGUUAAAGGUUUAAGAAAUAAAUUUCAAUUAAAUUGUUAUGUUAAAAUUAAUAAAAAUAAACCAAUUAUUUAUAUUGAUUCUAUAAGUUAUUUAAUUUUUUAUAAUUUAAUUAAACCUUAUUUAAUUCCUCAAAUGAUAUAUAAAUUACCUAAUACUAUUUCAUCCGAAACUUUUUUAAAAUAAUAUUCUUAUUUUUAUUUUAUGAUAUAUUUCAUAAAUAUUUAUUUAUAUUAAAUUUUAUUUGAUAAUGAUAUAGUCUGAACAAUAUAGUAAUAUAUUGAAGUAAUUAUUUAAAUGUAAUUACGAUAACAAAAAAUUUGAACAGGGUAAUAUAGCGAAAGAGUAGAUAUUGUAAGCUAUGUUUGCCACCUCGAUGUCGACUCAACAUUUCCUCUUGGUUGUAAAAGCUAAGAAGGGUUUGACUGUUCGUCAAUUAAAAUGUUACGUGAGUUGGGUUAAAUACGAUGUGAAUCAGUAUGGUUCCUAUCUGCUGAAGGAAAUAUUAUCAAAUUAAAUCUCAUUAUUAGUACGCAAGGACCAUAAUGAAUCAACCCAUGGUGUAUCUAUUGAUAAUAAUAUAAUAUAUUUAAUAAAAAUAAUACUUUAUUAAUAUAUUAUCUAUAUUAGUUUAUAUUUUAAUUAUAUAUUAUCAUAGUAGAUAAGCUAAGUUGAUAAUAAAUAAAUAUUGAAUACAUAUUAAAUAUGAAGUUGUUUUAAUAAGAUAAUUAAUCUGAUAAUUUUAUACUAAAAUUAAUAAUUAUAGGUUUUAUAUAUUAUUUAUAAAUAAAUAUAUUAUAAUAAUAAUAAUUAUUAUUAUUAAUAAAAAAUAUUAAUUAUAAUAUUAAUAAAAUACUAAUUUAUCAGUUAUCUAUAUAAUAUCUAAUCUAUUAUUCUAUAUACU
rnacentral:rRNA from 2 species